GGACCUAUAGCUCAGCCUGGUCAGAGCAGCUGACUCAUAAUCAGAAGGUCGGGGGUUCAAAGCCCUCUAGGUCCA
rnacentral:tRNA from 1 species